AUGAUGUUAGCUCUGUUCCCUUUCCUUGUCAGUUUCCUUUCUUGCCUAAGCCAGUACCUGGGUGCCUUGUGUGAAUGGGGUGGCUUCUUUGCUUCUGCUGUUGGAGGCAAAAGGAGUGGACCUGUCAUCGUGCCCUGCGAUAAUCACUGAGUGUCGGUCCACACUUGGUUACACAGGAUUAUACCGGGGGUCACAAGGGGACAGCCGUUAGUCUGGGAAGCUGUCCUCAAAAUGCUUAAACUCCUCUAAGAUCCUUUUCCUCAGAGCAGUUUGGGUUCAGAAGAGAAAGCAGACACUGAAGUUCACUGUGCUAGUGUAGGGUAUAGAUAACUCAAACUGGGGAACCCAAACUACCCACUUAGCUUUUGAGUAGGUAAUAAGAGUCUUCUCCUGAGAAGCUUUGUUUUCUUAAUUUGGCUAAGUUCAAACGACCAUUAAAAUAAAUGUGAGGAUCCAUCGAUGGGUAGAAGGUGGCCAGGAGGGACAGUGGGAAGCCGGGUUGGUUUCACAACUGAUUAUGGUGCCUGCCUGGCUAUGGCGUUGACCUUCUCAGCUAGAGGGUUGUGGUAGGGUUGAGGGGUGGGUAGAGUGGUGGGAUGUGGGGUCAGGUUAAAGUGUGUUGGAACUCACCAAGGCCUGACUGUUUUGUCUCUAGGGGAAGAUGAUGAAGAUGCUCCUAUGAUAACUGGAUUUUCAGAUGACGUCCCCAUGGUGAUAGCCUGAAAGAGCUUUCCUCACUAGAAACCAAAUGGUGCAGCCUUUGAAAGUGACCAGAUAACUGUCUUCACUGGACCAAUCGGAGUCCCUGCUUGCUUGUGAAGAAGGGGUUUUUGUACCUUGUUGGAGAUGCCACCUCAGAAGUUCACACUGUGCAGGAAGAAGGUUUUAUUCUCUCCUGGCAUACAUUAGAAUGUCAGAUGCUUGCAUCCAUGUGGACCACGAUGGGCCUCUAAAAAUUGGUGGGCAGGGGGUUUGCU
rnacentral:sRNA from 1 species